rnacentral:rRNA from 1 species
GACGAACGCUGGCGGCGUGCUUAACACAUGCAAGUCGAACGGACGGGCCCUACUUUUGUGUGUCUCUUGUUAGGCGCACGGGUGAGUAACACGUGUGUAAACUCCACCUGUCUUUGGGAUAAAAUUAGGAAACUCGGGCUAAAACCGGAUAGAAGAUCCUGCUGCAUGUUGGGGAUUGGAAAGAUUCGGCGGUUCGGGAUGGAAUGGAGGGUUAUCCGCUUGUUGGUGGGGUAGUGGCUUACCAAGGUUGUGACGGAAAGCCCGCAUGAGAGGGUGACCGGGCACAAUGGUACUGAGAGAGGGCGCAGACGGCAACGGGAGGCAGUAGUCGGGAACAUGGCAGAAUGGGGGGGAGCCUGAGGCAGCAACGUCGGGUGCGUGAUGACGGGUUUCGGGUGGUAAACCGCUUUGUACUGUGACGAAGCGUGAGUGACGGUAAUGGGUAAGGAAGCACCGGCUAACUACGUG